rnacentral:rRNA from 1 species
UGGGGAAGUAUUGCACAAAGGCGGCAAGCCUGAUGCAGCGACGCCGCGUGAGGGAUGACGGCCUUCGGGUUGUAAACCUACUUUCGCAGGGACGCGGUACCUGGAGAAGAAGCACCGGCCAACUACGUGCCAGCAGCCGCGGUAAUACGUAGGGUGCGAGCGUUGUCCGGAAUUACUGGGCGUAAAGAGCUCGUAGGUGGUUUGUCGCGUUGUUCGUGAAAACUCACAGCUUAACUGUGGGCGUGCGGGCGAUACGGGCAGACUGGAGUACUGCAGGGGAGACUGGAAUUCCUGGUGUAGCGGUGGAAUGCGCAGAUAUCAGGAGGAACACCGGUGGCGAAGGCGGGUCUCUGGGCAGUAACUGACGCUGAGGAGCGAAAGCGU